rnacentral:rRNA from 1 species
CCUACGGGGGGCAGCAGUAGGGAAUAUUGCUCAAUGGGGGAAACCCUGAAGCAGCAACGCCGCGUGGAGGAUGAAGGUUUUCGGAUUGUAAACUCCUUUUGUUAGAGAAGAUAAUGACGGUAACUAACGAAUAAGCACCGGCUAACUCCGGGCCAGCAGCCGCGGUAAUACGGAGGGUGCAAGCGUUACUCGGAAUCACUGGGCGUAAAGAGCGCGUAGGCGGGAUAGCAAGUCAGAUGUGAAAUCCUAUGGCUUACCCAUAGAACUGCAUUUGAAACGGUUAUUCUAGAGUAUGGGAGUGGUCGGUCGAAUUCUUGGUGUAGGGGUAAAAUCCGUUGAGAUCAAGAGGAAUACUCAUUGCGACGGCGACCUGCUAGAACAUACCUGACGCUGCUGCGCGAAAGAGUGGGGAGCAAACAGGAUUAGAUACCCUUGUAGUC